rnacentral:rRNA from 1 species
CAGCGCCUGGCACAUGCAAGUCGAACGGGCCCUUCGGGUGACAGUGGCAGACGGGUGAGUAACACGUGGGAACGUGCCCUUCGGUUCGGAAUAACUCAGGGAAACUUGAGCUAAUACCGGAUACGCCCUUACGGGGAAAGGUUUACUGCCGAAGGAUCGGCCCGCGUCUGAUUAGCUAGUUGGUGGGGUAAAGGCCUACCAAGGCGACGAUCCAUAGCUGGUCUGAGAGGAUGAUCAGCCACAUUGGGACUGAGACACGGCCCAAACUCCUACGGGAGGCAGCAGUAGGGAAUAUUGGGCAAUGGGCAAGAGCCUGACCCAGCCAUGCCGCGUGCAGGAAGAAGGCUUUCUGAGUCGUAAACUGCUUUUGAUAGGGAAGAAUAACCAGUACGUGUACUGGGAUGACGGUACCUACAGAAUAAGCACCGGCUAACUCCGUGCCAGCAGCCGCGGUAAU